rnacentral:rRNA from 1 species
UUUUUAUGGAGAGUUUGAUCCUGGCUCAGAGUGAACGCUGGCGGCGUGCCUAAUACAUGCAAGUCGAACGAUGAAGCUUUUAGCUUGCUAGAAGUGGAUUAGUGGCGCACGGGUGAGUAAGGUAUAGUUAAUCUGCCCUACACAAGAGGACAACAGUUGGAAACGACUGCUAAUACUCUAUACUCCUGCUUAACACAAGUUGAGUAGGGAAAGUUUUUCGGUGUAGGAUGAGACUAUAUAGUAUCAGCUAGUUGGUAAG